CCAAAGGCGAGGGCAGCCCGGGAGCGCCGCCCGCCGCCUGCGCCUCCCCGGCCGCCGCGCCGGGGGCCGGGCAGCCUCAGUGAGCUCAUCCCGGUCGGCGGACUCCGGCGCCGAGAGGCCGCGCGGGCCUGGAGCCUCAGCUCGGCGCUGCGCGCUCCUUCUCCGGAGAUCCAGCGCUCGGUAGUAAUACAAGAGAGGAGGAACGAACACGGCGCGGGGCAGCCGGCCGGGACCGAGACAGGCGAGGCUUCAGCGCUAAGAGGAGUGGCCCUGAGCGAGGACAGACUCUUCACGGACGGCGGGGAGAGCAGCGGCUGCACUAGGGGACGGCGCCGACCCGCAGUGGCCGCCCGGGGGAGACCCCGAGCGUCGGCAGAGGAUGGAGACCUCUGAGCUUCUGGGACUCUCCGGCUGGCGUUCAGAGUUGAGUCGGGACUGUGCCCAGGGCCGCAUUCCCGGGGCGGCUCAAAGGCCACGUCUCCAAGCAGAAGGGUGAGCCGGGGGCCCACCUUUGGGUGCAUGGCUCACCUGGCCCCCGGGGCGCACAGAAUCCUGGCAAGUCACCCGGUGCUCCUGCCGGCAUCACAGCCCACACCACCAGGGCCAAGGCGGGUGCCCAGAGCUGUCCGCAGCUGCUGAGAUUUGGGCUUGGACCCAGGCCGCAGGCUGCACUCUCUGAUCUGGGAGCAGGGUUGCUCAGGCCACGAACCUGGUUUCCCAUCUCCUCCUCCUCCUUCUCCUGGUUUGCUGCACAUUAAUUCCCCACCCCACCCCCACCCUCUGGAUCAACCCAUGGGUCCUGUCCUUGCCUUUUGUCUCUGCUCCCCCUCUACCCCAGCUGAGUCGGCGGCGUCCCGGCUCCUUCGCACUGUGCGCAGAGGCCCCAGGUCUCUUUCAAGCCCAGUCAUGGCUUCUGCUCUCCCGACGGGCUUCCCAUGCUGAAACCUUGGCGGACUGCACGGUAGAAAUGGGGCCUCGGCCUGAAGUUGGGUACUACGGGUAGCCGGCGAGUGCUGUCUUGCUCAGAGCAGCCGACAGAAGACGCCGAUUCCUCCCCAGGGCGACCCCGGCCCCUCGGCAAUCAGGGAUUCUCCUGGGCUCGGACUAAGGUGUCAGAAACAGCUUUGGGUUUUCUCCACCUAAGGGAAGACUCAGUCGACUGUGUGGAAUCGCCUGGGGAGAAGUAAGAACUGAGACGGAAGCAGUAGGGCGGGAGUCUUAGCUCCCCAAUUCUACUGACGCGUCAUUUCCACGGAGCCCUUCUCUCUACCAAAGGAGCAAGGAUGCUCCUUUCCUUAGGGCUUAGUGCUCCCGGCGCCUGCCAGCGCUACCAGUGGCCCACAAGCAGGGCCCUAGGACCCCCACCCUCCCGGCAGUGGAGCCCUGUCUGUUCCCCCCAGCCGUGCUUCUGACCAGAGCCAGCCGUGGGUCCCCUCACAGUUUACAGCCCCAGCUGGAAGCCAGAAUCCUGGGCAGGGGGGGAGGACAGGGUGCGGCCCAGCCCGGUGCCGCGCAGCUUGGAGGCACGGGCUCAGAGCUGUGCGGAUCGGCGAUUCCACUCUGCCAGCCAGGGGGAGAGUCAGGGCUGCCAGAGCACCCAGACCCCUCCUGCAUUGCUUGCCCGCCACUGGCCCCUGCGAUCCUCAGAUGUGUGGGGGCAGGGAGGUGGGGGGAGCCAGCCUGGACCAGAGCUGCGGCCCCCAGCCGAGACCUGGGCUGGGGGCUGCUCAUCCCAGGACCUAGCCUGGGCUCUGAAGACCUGGGUCCUCAGGAAGUGAAGCGGGCAGGCACUGAAGGGCUCGAGUGUACCGGCCUCUGGAGCCAGAUGUGACCACCCUUGACUCCUUGGAUCACCAGCUGUACUUGACCCCCGGGACACAGGGGUCAAAGGCUCAGGUCUCUUCUCAGCUAGCAGAGAGAUGCAUGUGUGUGAUAAGUAAUCCGGUCAUGUUCCCACAGCCCAGGGAAGAGGGUCUGUGGUCUUCCCGUCUGCGGAGAGCUCAGAAACCCUGAGUCCCGUGGAGGUACCCAGAGGAAUGACUGGGGGAGGGGGUGGGUUCCAAGUGUGUGUGGGGGUCCCUCUGACUCAGGACUGGGAGCCGGCCUCACUCUCCCAUCUGGGGUUUUCUAGAGUCAGAACUUGCUGGUGAGGCACAGUGUGUGUGGCUCCGAGGCUGUAUGCUGGUGUGUGUCCGUGUGCAACGUGGGGACCGUCCAGCCCCAGCAGAGUCCUUCAGCCCUCUAUGCGGCCCAGCCCCCACCCUCAACCAGCUGGUGGGGGUCUCUGGCCACAGACUCAUGACUUUUCAGCACAAGGUCUGGGUCAUUAGUCAUGAGAUUUCUCCUUGGUGGGUCAGGUCCUGACCCAGGAUCGCAGAUCGAAAGGCUGCUUUGAGCUCUCAGGGCUGGAGAGGGACAAUGCCCCGGCCAGGUGGCCCAGGGCUGAGAUCUCUCACUGGCCAGGCAGUGGGUUAGAAGCGGGGUGAAGAGCAGGUCUCAGGGAGUCCCCCAGAUCUGGUUCAGGACCUCCAGAAGGCCCUGCCCUCACUCUGUACUGCAACUUCCUCAUCUGUAAAGUGGGCGUAAUCGCCUGCAUUCCCGCAGGGCCGUUGGGAGAACGGACUACAAGCGCUCACCACAGUGCCUGGCACAUAAUGAGUCUCCACUCAGAUGUCUGGAGGAAAGAGAGUCCCCGGGACUUAGGGGAACUGCAGCUGCCUCCUUCCCGUCCAACCUGGGCCUGAGGGGAACCGGACCUCAGCUCAACAAUCUAUCUUCCUUUAGGGCAGGUGAAACUCAGGUCCAGGCAGCUGUGGGCCGGGCCCAGGAGACCCCACGCCCCCCCGCCCAGGCUGUGCCCAGACAGCCCAGCACAGUCUCAGCCUUCACUCCUCACUUUGGCUGUGGAGCCCAGGCUGAGGGGUUUUUCAGAUGGCAACAGAAUUAGGGGCUUCAGCCCAAUGCGUUGAAGCUGUCCGUGUGGGACUCCCAAGGUGCCAUUUAUAUUUAUUUCCUAAAAGGCACUUUCCUCAAGAAUCUUUGCAUUUCUUGCCAAAUGGACGGGCUGGGGUAUUUCAGCGGCUCCUAUAGAACCAGGGGCUUCCCGGACGGAGGACCUGAGCCAGAACAAAGAAAAGGCCCAGGACCAUAUUUCGAGCCAUAAAACCCCCAUUAGGACACUUAAGAAUAAGUCGCAGAAAGACAUUUUAUAUGAAUUGGACACAAAUUCACAAAAGCAAGAAAGUUCAUGGGUCUCCACCCUGAGGGUCCGUGACUGGGGAAGGGGGGCUGGGUGUGAUGCGGGUUCCAGCACCCAGCCUAUUUGAUCUUUAUCUUAAAUCCACUUCAAAAGCGGGGGAUCGGCAGAGCUGGAGGUUUGCCUCUUCCUGUAAUUAUUUGGUGUCUAGUAAAGUUUUUAUGAGUGUCUGUGCAAAUAAAUGCAUUUGAUGUGCAUUUGUUUUGGCUAGUGCCGCUUUAUAUAGGAGGCGUGUGCGUCUUCUGUUGGCCCUCAGAAAAGAACGAGAGUGAAAAUAAAAAUAAAACCGAGAU